CUGGUUGGCUCAGUUGGUUAAGCGUCUGACUUUGGUUCAGGUCAUGAUCAUGUGGUACGUGGGUUUGAGCCCCACAUCAG
rnacentral:tRNA from 1 species